rnacentral:rRNA from 1 species
AUUGAACGCUGGCGGCAUGCCUAACACAUGCAAGUCGAACGAGUGGCGGACGGGUGAGGAAUGUCUGGGACACUUCCUGAUGGAGGGGGAUAACUACUGGAAACGGUAUCUAAUACCGUAUUCCACCAGUUGUGCCCAGAUGGGAUUAGCUGGUUGGUGGGGUAACGGCUCACCAAGGCGACGAUCCCUAGUUGGUCUGAGAGGGUGACCAGCCACACUGGAACUGAGACACGGUCCAGACUCCUACGGGAGGCAGCAGUGGGGAAUAUUGCACAAUGGGCGAAAGCCUGAUGCAGCCAUGCCGCGUGUAUGAAGAAGGCCUUCGGGUUGUAAAGUACUUUCAGCGGGGAGGCGUUACCCGCAGAGGAAGCACCGGCUAACUCCGUGCCAGCAGCCGCGGUAAUAC